AGAUAAUGAUCUUCGCCGAGCGCCACAGCCUUCGCUACGCAGGAGCCGGUUUAUCGCACUUGAGAGGCAGUGUGGGGAGGAAUGUGGUACAAGAGCCGGGGAGAUGGCGCAACUGGGAGGCAGAGGGCUGGCGUCGUGGGUGGGCAGCCCCGGCGCACGUGGUCAGGAAGCUUCUGUCUGGGAUGAACCGAGGAAAGAGGAGCCACCUUCCCCACAGACCCUAUUCAAGGGCCAAAGACAGAGAACUUCUGCGCAUCACCCCACUUUAUCCUCACGCCCAUUUUCCAAAGUCAGGCCCAUGACUACUGCCAUUCACUCAGGAAGAAUCAAGACCUGUGUCAGAAGCAGCAGCUUGGCCUGGGGUAGAAUCGGAGUGGCAGCAGGAGGUUCUUUGCUGCCGUUCCCGCCAAGAGGUGACACGCGUUGCCCUCUCUGGAAUCUGGGCUGGCCUUAGUGGCCAAAUGUGAUAGAACGGACGUUUGGCUCUCUGAGACUAGGUCAUAGGAAGCCUUGCAGCCCCCAGGGCACCUCUUGAAGCAUCCUCGCUGGGCCCCUGAGCUGCCCUGUGCACUAUCUGACCACCCUGAGGCCACCAUGCCAGAGUGGCCAGGUGCAGGGUGCCUUGCUGCUGUCAUUGCCGCAUGCUGCCUUGUGAGCGAAGCUCUCCAGGACUCUCCAGACCAGCCCACCCACCACUGAGGACCACCGAGUCUCCUCCACUGACGUCUGUGGAGAACUCACCCAGCUGAGUCCUGUCCAAAUUCCUGACCCAUAAAACUGAGAUACAACUGGAAGUGGAUGUUUUAUGACACUAAGUUACGGACAAUUUGUUACACGGCAAUAGAUAACGAACUGUAGCAUAGCCCAGCCUAAGAGGUAGUGUGGACUCAGACCCACAUAAUUGUUUCCGAAGCCUGCUCGCUUAGCAAGUCAUGGUGAAGACACAGGGAGGAAGCCUGUCCCUGAUGCUGCUGGAAGGAAGGAGCAGCCCCACGAGGCCCUGGCUCAGCAUGCAGGCCCCUUCCACACCCUCCCUUCACACAUGGACUGCGUUAUUCUGCUCACACUCCAGUUUGCAGGGGGAAGGCAAGACAGGCACUGUGCAUCUCAAGUCCUAUUUUCUCCAAUGUCAGAAAGAGGCAGGGGAAGUGGAAAGAGAGAAAACAAAAGAAAACGAGCAAAACAAUGCAUUUCCAGAGACCGAACACAGGUUACCUGUCCUUCCUCAGGCCGAGCAGUUUGGGCUACGGCUGGAGGGUUCUUUUCAGGUGGGCUCAGCUGUGUGUGCGUUGGGUUCUCGGUGA
rnacentral:lncRNA from 1 species